rnacentral:rRNA from 1 species
UACAGGGGGGGCAAGCGUUGUUCGGAAUUACUGGGCGUAAAGGGCUCGUAGGUGGCCAACUAAGCCAGACGUGAAAUCCCUCAGCUUAACUGGGGAACUGCGUCUGAUACUGGAUGGCUUGAGUUUGGGAGAGGGAUGCGGAAUUCCAGGUGUAGCGGCGAAAUGCGUAGAUAUCGGGAGGAACAUCUGUGGCGAAGGCGGCCAUCUGGACCAGCACUGACACUGAGGCACGAAAGCGUGGGGAGCAAACAGG